rnacentral:lncRNA from 1 species
AGUUAGCAUUAGUGUUUGUAGCGCCACUUUACUGCCAAUAGCUGACAUUGCCCUGGGUUAGGGGAGAAUAAAUAAAAUCUGUGGCAUCAGACAGGUAUUACCGAGGCGAAGAGUGGACUGGGCUUUCGUGGGCACUUACCCUGGGAAGGGGGUAUGAGGUGGCUGGAGAAGUGUUCAUGGAGAGUGUCUCUCUCCUGCCCCCAAGGCCACGGAAUCUUCUAUUCCUUCUUUGUACCCAAAGGGCAAAGUGGAGGCCAGGGUCUCUUUGCUAAGGAGCUAAGUAGGGGAAAGAGGCAGGGGGAGCUCCCAGCAGGACCAAAGGGAGACCAAGGUUUGGACCCCAGAACAGAGCAGGAACCCAGAGUCCUGUGCAGUCACAGGAUGACGCAGGGAGGACGGCUGUUGGUGAUCUUUUCUAGGGUUUCUCCAUUACUGGCUCUUCGGAUGGCCUCAAUGAGCUAGAGGAGUGGAAUGACAGGAUGAUGCACUGUUGGGGCCUCUGUGACACCCCCUGACCUAUGGAAGGGAACUCAUGUUGGCCGGACAUUUUACCAUGUGCCAGGCACUGCGGGCACUUUACAUAAAGCAGCCAAUGUCAGAACUAGAAAGCGGGAGAGCUGGGAUUCAGAGCACAGACUGACCCAGCAGGUGUUCUGCGAGCCUCACCUGUGCCCCCGAGGCGCGACUCGAUCUCGAUGCCCGGAUACUGCUCCUUCACAGCACUGGCCAGCUCCAGGUAGGUCGCCUCGAAGCCGCAGGGUUCACUGGGGAGUCAAGAGAUGGGGCUGGGCUGGGGAUUCGGGGGUGGGGCCUCCCGUGGACCCACCUCCGUCCGGCCCGCGGGACCAGGGUGCGGGUCCUCCAGCCGGGGCCGCUCACCAGUACUCCACCACGAUGCG